AGUUACCCCUGUGACUGCAUCCCGACAAAAAUCAAGAUGAUACUGGCAGAGCACACAAGGUUCUCAAAGCUGAGGACCAAGCGAACUGGAAAUAAACAUGAGAAAGAAUGAAGCCAGCAGGCUUUGUGGAAGAAGGCAACAAAAAGGAAGAACAGAUCGAAGCUGAAGGGAACGUUAAGCCAGAAAGAAAGUGGCAGAAAAACCCUGAGGAAAGUCAAGAUGGUCAUGCAGACAGCUGGCAAAACUUCCAAGCAGCACAAAGGGGAAGUGAGAAA
rnacentral:lncRNA from 1 species